rnacentral:rRNA from 1 species
AACGAACGCUGGCGGCAGGCUUAACACAUGCAAGUCGAACGCCCCGCAAGGGGCGUGGCAGACGGGUGAGUAACGCGUGGGAACAUACCCUUUUCUACGGAAUAGCUCUGGGAAACUGGAAUUAAUACCGUAUACGCCCUACGGGGGAAAGAUUUAUCGGGGAAGGAUUGGCCCGCGUUGGAUUUGCUAGUUGGUGGGGUAAAGGCCUACCAAGGCGACGAUCCAUAGCUGGUCUGAGAGGAUGAUCAGCCACAUUGGGACUGAGACGCGGCCCAAACUCCUACGGGAGGCAGCAGUGGGGAAUAUUGGACAAUGGGCGCAAGCCUGAUCCAGCCAUGCCGCGUGAGUGAUGAAGGCCUUAGGGUUGUAAAGCUCUUUCACCGAUGAAGAUAAUGACGGUAGUCGGAGAAGAAGCCCCGGCUAACUUCGUG